rnacentral:rRNA from 1 species
UGCUCAGUAACACGUCGUUAAUCUGCCCUUAGGUCAGGGAUAACCUUGGGAAACUGAGGCUAAUACCUGAUAGGGGAUUUGUGCUGGGAUGCUUUUUCCCUGAAACUCGUGCCUAAGGAUGAGACGGCGCCGGAUUAGGUUGUUGGAGAGGUAACGGCUCACCAAGCCUAAGAUCCGUACGGGCCAUGAGAGUGGUAGCCCGGAGAGGGGUACUGAGACACUGACCCCAGCCCUACGGGGUGCAGCAGGCGCGAAACCUCUACAAUGCACGCAAGUGUGAUAGGGGGAUCCCAAGUGCUUAUGUUAAACAUAGGCUUUUGCCAAGAGUAAAUACCUUGGCGAAUAAGUGGUGGGUAAGACUGGUGCCAGCAGCCGCGGUAACACCAGCGCCACGAGUGGCAACCGCAUUUAUUGGGCCUAAAGCGUCCGUAGCCGGUCAUGUAAAUCUUUUGUGAAAUCAUACAGCUCAACUGUAUGGCUUGCAAGAGACACUACAUGACUAGGGACCGGGAGGAGUCAGAGGUAUUCUGGGGGGAGCGGUAAAAUGUUAUAAUCCCCGGAGGACCACCUGUGUGAGACGUCUGACUAGAACGGAUCCGACGGUGAGGGACGAAAGCCAGGGGAGCGAACCGGAUUAGAUACCCGAGUAGUCCUGGCCGUAAACUCUGCGAGCUAGUGUUGCAUGUUCUACGUGAGCAUGCAUGUCGUACGAGCGUAGCUCCGCCGCCUGGAGUAUUGUCGCAGCUGAAACUUAAAGGAUUGACGG